UGCUGCCUAGGGACCAUGGUGCGAGGUAAACCGAAGGGUGUAAACGUUGCUCGAGAUAGUUGGGGAUAAAGGGCACGUAGGCGGCUUAGCAAGUCCCAUGUGAAAGCCCACGGCUUAACCGUGGAAGUGCAUGGGAAACUGCUGAGCUUGAGUACUUAAGAGGAUCGCGGAAUUCCCGGUGUAGAGGUGAAAUUCGUAGAUAUCGGGAGGAACACCAGUGGCGAAGGCGGCGAUCUGGGAAGAUACUGACGCUGAGGUGCGAAAGCGUGGGGAGCAAACAGGAUUAGAUACCCGUGUAGUC
rnacentral:rRNA from 1 species